rnacentral:rRNA from 1 species
UUCCGGUUGAUCCCGCCGGACCCGACUGCUAUCAGAGUGGGACUAAGCCAUGCGAGUCGACACAGCAAUGUGUGGCAUACGGCUCAGUAACACGUAGUCAACAUGCCCAGGGGACGUGGAUAACCUCGGGAAACUGAGGAUAAACCGCGAUAGGUCACUACUUCUGGAGUGGGUAAUGACCCAAACCUAUAUGGCCCCUGGAUUGGACUGCGGCCGAUCAGGCUGUUGGUGAGGUAAUGGCCCACCAAACCUGUAACCGGUACGGGCUCUGAGAGGAGGAGCCCGGAGAUGGGCACUGAGACAAGGGCCCAGGCCCUAUGGGGCGCAGCAGGCGCGAAACCUCUGCAAUAGGCGAAAGCUUGACAGGGUUACUCUGAGUGAUUUCCGUUAAGGAGAUCUUUUGGCACCUCUAAAAAUGAUGCAGAAUAAGGGGUGGGCAAGUCUGGUGUCAGCCGCCGCGGUAAUACCAGCACCCCGAGUGGUCGGGACGUUUAUUGGGCCUAAAGCAUCCGUAGCCGGUUCCACAAGUCUUCCGUUAAAUCCACCUGCUCAACAGAUGGGCUGCGGAAGAUACUAUGGAGCUAGGAGGCGGGAGAGGCAAGCGGUACUCGAUGGGUAGGGGUAAAAUCCGUUGAUCCAUUGAAGACCACCAGUGGCGAAGGCGGCUUGCCAGAACGCGCUCGACGGUGAGGGAUGAAAGCUGGGGGGAGCAAACCGGAUUAAAUACCCGGGUAGUCCCAGCUGUAAACGAUGCAGACUCGGUGAUGAGUUGGCUUUAUGCCAACUCAGUGCCGCAGGGAAGCCGUUAAGUUUGCCGCCUGGGGAGUACGGUCGCAAGACUGAAACUUAAAGGAAUUGGCGGGGGAGCACCACAAGGGGUGAAGCCUGCGGUUCAAUUGGAGUCAACGCCGGG